rnacentral:lncRNA from 1 species
UUUUAUUUUUAGAACUCUGUUAAAAAAAUAAUAGCAAAAAUCCAAACAUUUAUCUAUCCAUCCAUGAGGUUGAUCAGUAGCUAUUCCUCCAAUACGAAAAUAAUUAUGCAUCAUUCGCAUACCGGUGGUAGCUUCAAAUAGGUCAUAUAUCAAUUCUUGUUCUCGAAAAAUAUAGAAGAAAGGGUUUUGUGCCCCAAUAUCUGUCAUAAAAGGACCAAGCCAUAACAAAUGGGAAGUUAUACGACUCAACUCCAACAUAAUGGUUCUGACAUAGCUAGUCCUUUUAGCUACUUGAAUAUUGCCUAGUUGUUCGGGUCCAUUUACUGUUAUUGUUUCUGUGAACAUAGUAGUUAAAUAAUCCCAACGUGUUACAUAAGGCAAAUAUUGUAUAAUUGUUCGGUUUUCCGCAAUUUUCUCCAUUCCUCUGUGUAAAUAACCCAAUAUAGGUUCACAGUCAAUAACAUCUUUACCAUCGAGAGUAACGAUAAGUCGAAGAACAUCAUGCAUUGAUGGGUGGUGAGAACUCAUAUUGACUAUCAUGAUGUCUUUUCUUGUAGUUGGUGCAAUCAUAAGUUUUUUACCAAGUCAUUCUUCCAUGAAUGGCUGAAAGUAAAAACAAGUUCAUCAAAAUUAAAAUGCAUAAGUUUAAAUGAUAUAACUCUUUAAAUUAACGAGUUUUUGUCUCUCGAAUAUCCAACCGAUCAAUUAAUUCUUUAUAACGUACUCUAUAUAUUUUUUUUUUUUGACAAAUAAGCCAGUAAUCGUUGACGUUUUCUCAAAAUUUUUCACAAACCUCUCUGAGAUGAAUAGUCUUUUUUGUGCAAUUCCAAAUGUGAAGUAAGUCUCCUUAUCUUAGUGGUGAAACUAAAUACCUGAAAUUCAACAUACCCUCUGUUUUCUUCAUUUUCUUUUUGAGAAAUAACCGAAAUGAAUGAAUUUCUUACCAUAAAAAAAAGCCUCCUCUCCCUUUUUUAUAGAUAUGGAUUUUACCGAUCAGUAAUAAUAAUGUCAUUUAUUUUAAUGUGGUAUAUGCAAUAAUCUAAUUCAAAUUUCUUUAUGAACUCCUAAUUUUAUCAAUUCAAAUGAAUCAAUCCAAUUGAAAAUUAGAUUUAGAUAGGGAGAGAAAAGGAUUGGUACAUUUUCAUAUUCACAAAAGCGAAGAAUUUAGACCUAAAAUCAAGAGGGUUCUAUUGAUUCAUUUCUAAAUCGAAUUGAUACUUUAUUCAUUUAUUAUUGGAUAUUUAGAAUGAAAUGUAAGAUAGGACGUGUGAUGUGUGUAUU